GGCCCAGAUCGUUUACCGUGAAAAAAUUAGAGUGUUCAAAGCAGGCAGAUCCAAWUUUCUGCCACCGAAUACAUUAGCAUGGGAUAAUGGAAUAGGACCCUGUCCUCCUAUUUUCAGUUGGUUUUGGCACGCGAGGACCAGGGUAAUGAUUAAUAGGGAUAGUUGGGGGCAUUAAUAUUUAAUUGUCAGAGGUGAAAUUCUUGGAUUUAUGAAAGAUUAACUUCUGCGAAAGCAUCUGCCAAGGAUGUUUUCAUUAAUCAAGAACGAAAGUUAGGGGAUCGAAGACGAUCAGAUACCGUCGUAGUCUUAACCAUAAACGAUGCCGACCAGCGAUUAGGAGACGUUGAAUACAAAACACCACCAUCGGUGCGGUCGUCCUUGGCGCGUCGUGGCUUGCUGCGGCGUGCGAGGGCGGUUUAGCCUGAUGGCAUCGGUGAAUGACUCCCCUAGCAGCUUGUGAGA
rnacentral:rRNA from 1 species